rnacentral:lncRNA from 1 species
CGGCCAACGAAGGUCCCACUGAGAUGGUGACAUUUGAGCAGAGACCAGGGACAGCUAAAAGGACAAGCGAUGUGACAGUCGGGGGACAGAGGAGCAACGGGUAAGACCAGCAAGGUAGUCUGGGGACACGGAAAUGUAGCUACACGGGAAACACUUCAGACCACGGGACCCUCAUGAUGACUUGUAGCAAGGACUUGGCUUUUUCUCUGAGCGAGACAGGAAGCCACUGGAGAGGUCUGUGCAGAUGAGGGUCAUCGCCUGACUGCUAUUUUAACAAUCAUUCGGGAGUUUGGGGUGGAUUAACUGAGAGAAUCCCAGAAAAUCAGCACAAAACACAUAAAUGUUGGCAACAGGGGCCUAUGAUCACCAAACAUCAAGUCUUUGGAGACAUUCACAAGGUUCUGUGUCUUCCAGAUGGAUGGCCCCGGAUCUUAAGAAAUGGAAUGGUUUUUCUAAAGGGUGUUCACUCCAGGGGCGCCUGGGUGGCUCAGUCGGUUGAGCGUCCGACUUCGGCUCAGGCCAUGAUCUCACAGUUCACGGGUUCGACUUCUGCAUCGGGCUCCGUGCUGACAGCUCAGAGCCCGGAGCCCGCUUUGGAUUCUGUGUCUGUCUGUCUCUCAAAAUAAACAUUUAAGUUUUUUUUUUUCCUUUUUAAAAAUAAAGGGUGUUAACUCCAGACCAGUGGGAGUUAGUCCCUUAUAAGGGUAGGAAGGGGCAUUAAUGGCAGAAAAGAGUUGGUUGCAGAGAACUGUGUUUAAGGAUGCCUCGGGAGCCGCUCGGAGCAUGUCCACAGAGAGCUGCAGUUGUCCUGUGUGCGUUUCUGCUAAUGGCUUUGUAGAGAUUGGAUUUAUUAGGUACCACCCCAUCUGCUAAGCCCCACAGAUAUUCAGAGAGCCAAAGUGGACUCUGAUGGCCCGAGAGAGCCACCCUGAGACUGAUGCAAGGAGAGGCAGGAGGGCGGUGGCCAAGGAGGGUAUGAGCGACUCCACCUAAUUUAGGGUCAACACUGAACCGGAAGGUAAAAAUGAGUUUCUACUGAGAAACGGCAAAUUAGAGCUUGCUCAAGAGGUUGGCUAGAAUAAGUGCUUUUUGAUGGAAGUGCUUUUUAGACACUAACUGGAAAUUGAAAGGGAGUACGCAGGAAGGAGUGAGCGCAGAGAUGGGCAGCCUAGCUGCUCACCUUGGACCUGGAAGGCAGCCACGGGGAGCCAGGGAGGAGAGGAGUCCGGGCUGCAGUGUGAGUGAAUUUUAAAGGCAGAGGAACAAGUGAGCGGAUAUCCUGGAGUGUUCAUUAAAGGGAGCCCUUGAAAACGGUAGGUCCCAGGACCCACUCUGUGCCUUGAUGAAGGAGUUUCUCUGAAAUGUAGGAAGUCAGGCAAAGGCGCCCUUUUUGUCUGUGCGUAGAACAGAAAGGAUCGUAAGGUAUCAGAGUGCGGAGUUCUUCCCAGGCCAUUUUUGUCUCUUACAACAGCCUUUACGACAGAGCUGGUUGGACAGACUUCGGUGGGUUAGCAAAUGUGCAAGGUCUUAGAGGGGAGGAAAGUAGACAGGGCUCUCUCCACUGUCCCACUAUUCAUCUCCCCCUUCCUGUCCCCCGAAGUUUCCCUCGUCUGCCUCUUGUUCCUUUCCUUUCCUGUCACAUAUAGUUCUCUUUUUAAAAGAUUUUUUGUUAAUGUUUAUGUAUUUUUGAGAGAGAGAGAGAGAGAGAGAGAGCGAGCACGAGCAGGGAAGGGGCAGAGAGAGACAGAGACACAGAAUCCGAAGCAGGCUCCAGUCUCUGAGCUGUCAGCACAGAGCCCAGCGUGGGGCUGGAACAGUGAGAUCAUGACCUGAGCCGAAGUCGGACGCUCAACCGACUGAGCCCCCCGGGUGCCCCACAUAUGGUUCUCUUUUGCUUGCUUUCUCCCCUACCAUUCUUUUAUGCUAGAUUUCGCUUCUUUAAUCGCCUCUGUUAAGUGUGUGAAGCAGUGAGCGAUGCGUGUAUUCGCAGCUGUCGGUCCACAUGUUGGUCGUUGGUUAUAGUGUUACUUUAGCACCAGGGCAGAGUAGUAGCGUGGAAGGCUUUGUGUCUGCCCUGGGGAGGGACGGCGGCCUCCUGAAGGGGUCUGAGUGUGGAGCAAGAGGUUGAUAGUAAUUCAGAGAGCAGGAAUUUGCCUUCAAAGCUUUGGGCAGGUUUAGAGCAGGCUAUUUAUAAUCCAUCAGGGGAUUAAAGAGAAGAUAGGCAGGUUCUGGGAUAUUGUUAUAGAUCAGCCAGACAAGAUGAAAAGAUAGAGCAGCUCAGGAAAUGUGUUUACAGAUAAGAGGCAAGUUGAAAAAGCCAGGCCACGAUCAUGGAGACUUUGACUGAUUGCACAUACUAAAUAAUGUAUAAAUGAAUGUUAUUCAACAACUACCGAUAUUGACUGGCAAAACAACAGUGGACAGAUGGAGGCAGAGGCAGAAGCCUUAGCAGUAAAUCUGUGCAGGCCCACCUCUGCCCAUGGCACCCAUGGCCUUGACCUUUCCCCCUCGUCUUCCAACUUUCAGCUAACCUUGGGGGAAUGGAUUCUUCAUUUGCUCACUCAUUUAUUGCCACACACUUGAGCACCUACUCUCUGUCGGACUGGAUGGGUUUGGAAGAAAGGAUGUAGCCUCAACCCUGAAGGAUCUCCUGGGAGAGACAGAGGAAACAGACCCAGCCGGUAAAAAAUAAGAUCACGAAAUUGGCAGAGAUCAAGACAAAAUGUACUGAGGACCCCAGAGGCACCCCUUAGUCUGGGAAGUAUCUCAGAAUUAGGACCUGGUGUUUUUACUCUGGGAUGAAAGGGUCUUGAGAUAUUCCUGAAUGUGGCGACUUUCCCCUUUUAUUAUCAGGAUUCAAUCUAGGUAUCAAGAGACAGGAUAUAUUCAAAGUUCACUGAGAAACCAGAAGUGAGCCUGGAAUGAAUCCAGUCCUCACAUUUCUUCUCCCGACCCACAACAUAAGCAUUUUUUUUUUUUUUUAAAUACUCCUUGCGAUAAAAAGAUCCAAGCAGGCCAGACAGCUGACGGUUUCUUAUUUGCUAGAAUGAAAACGUGGCAAAGUUUGGGAGUAGAUUUUUCUGAGGUUGAAAAGACAGUUGUUGAGGACCAAGGUUGUAUCUGAAUUGGAGUUGGUUUGGACAAUUCAAAUCGCUUCUGUGAGUCAAUCCUUUUAAGGUCAAUAAAUACGAAGAUAGUAGGUAAUAUUUGGAACACGGCAAGGACAACAGUGCCCUGUAGUCAGACCUCCCCUCCCCUUUGGAGGUCAGGAAGCUCCAAGCCACUAACCUUCAAUGUUGUGGGAAACUCUUAGAACGCUCUCAGAACAAAUUUGCAAAGAACAGCUGGUAUAUUUUCGUCACGUUAAAAAUGUCAGACUUCCAUUUGGCAAAGAAGUUCCCCAAUCUUUAGACUUCCAUUUAGGGAACUGCUAAAUAGCAUCAAGGAGGAAAUACAGGGGCUACUGUUAAUUAGGCUGGGAGAUUGCUUGUAAGCACUCACUCACUAGAAGGGAUUAGGAGAAAUUGGCUGAAAUAUUAAGAAGUCUAGCAAACAUUAAAAAAUAUAUAGCUCUAAUAGGGGCGCCUGGGUGGCUUAGUUGGUUGAGCGUCUGACCUCGGCUCAGGUCACGAUCUCACGGUUCCUGAGUUUGAGCCUUUGCUGUCAGCAUGGAGCUUACUCCAGAUCCCUUGUCCCCUUCUCUCUGCCCCUCCCCCGCUUGCGUUCUUUCAAAAAUAAACAUUUAAAACAUAUAUAUAUAUAUAUAUAUAUAUGUACACACGUAUCACCACCAUCACCUGCACCAGCACAAUUAAACCAGCCUCCAGCAUUUUGUCCAGCUCCUCCGGAGAUUCUAAUAUGCAACUAGGAUUAAGCACCGCAGCUCGUGGGACCCGGAGAGAACCCGGGAACCGAGAUCCGACGUGACUGAGCUGAUAGUUGUAAAUGUCGCUCAGUGCAGAAAAAAGGGGGCUGGGGGCCUGUAAAUCUGUUAGAGCCAGGAUCGCAAGUGACACAGACCAGCCUUUGGCCUGGAGCACGUUUGGAUGAAAGCCAACAGGUUGCGGCAGACGGAAUGCUAAAGAGCACAGGAUGUGAACCCAUCUCCGUGGUGCAGUGAGCCUUUGUUUCUGGUUUGAAAACCCACGGUUGUUCUUUUCCCAGAAAGGCCGUUGAAAGGAGCGGAAAGGAAAUUUGAAGAGGAAGGCCGAGUAUUUAUCAAGUGGAAGCCGAGUAUCAUUUCUCAUGCGUCAGAAAACCUUGUACAGGUCGGCCUCCAGCACAUGGCGGGACUAGCUCCUGCCAGAGGCCGUGAAUGAGGAGCACAAGCAUGAGCAGAGGCUUCAAGGCCAAGGCCUUGGUUACACAAGGUGCCUCUCUGAGUACCGCGACCGUGAAGGCCAGUCCUCUGCGUCAGCCUGACCGGGCUCAGGGAGCCCAGAUAGGGGUCGGCGAGGGGGUUUCCGGGAGAAAUCAGCAUCGGAAUCAGCAGACAAAGCCAUCCUCCCUCACCCAUGCUCCACCCGACUCCUUGAGGGCCCAGAUGGAACGAAAAGGCAGGAGGAGGCCAAAUUUUCUCUCGUUUUGAGCUGGGACUUCUGACUUCCCCAGCCUUCAGAUAUUGGACGUCAGAGCUCCUGUGGGUCUGAGGCCUUGGAUGCAGACUGAAUUCUCCCACGGGCCUGCCUUGGUUCUGCAGCUUAUAGCCUACACGUUGGGAUGUAUCUCGGCUUCCGUUAUCACAUUAGCCAGAGCUCAUAAUCAAUCUCCUCUUAGAUGUCUAUCUACGUCCCCUUGGUUCCAUUUCUCUGGAGAACCCAAACUAAUUUAGUGACCCUCCCGGAUUUCCCAGAGUGGUUUAGAUUUUAGUUCCAUUAUCCCUGUAUUGCAUCGAUGCCCAGGGCUUUGAAAUCCCAGAAGCUGAUGCUCAGUAAAUAUAUGCCAAUAUCGGUCAAUCUCAGCUAAAGGCUACUACCCACCCCCUCAAGGUGCCUCUCAUACACAGAGCCAAACUAUAACCACUGAAGAUCAUAACCACCCAAAGAGCUGAGGGCAGGGACACCCAGGGAUGAAGUUCUAUCGCUGUGGCAGUCAGACCGGAUGGGCGGUGUGGAAUCUGGCUUCCUUACAGCAUACAAAGCACCGCCCCUCUUGCCUUCUGACAACUCAGCUCCGUGUCCCCCUUUUCCCUAUCCAGGCUUCCUUUAUGGGUCCUGCCCUUCGGUAUGGCUUUGGCUCCCCCGUUCCCAUUAAUUUGGGGGCAUUGGCAGCCGCUUUGGGAUCCUGCCUGGCACCUGGCAGUCUUACGUCCUCACCCCAGGGCCAUCAUUCUCUAGCUGUCUUGCCACCAUCCCCGGGGGACACCAAAAGCACCUUGUCAGAGCACUUAUUUGCAUUAUCACCUGGAAGACAGGGCGCAUCAUUCGCCCAUCUACCUUUGGUCGACCAAGGCAGCUUUUUAAAACUGUUGCAGCUUUAGUCUCUGUCUUGAGAUCACAGGAGGAGUAUUUGCUCAUUUCAGGUGCGACCAUUAGCUCGUACAAAGGUCACCAGGGAGGGAGGGAGGGAGGGACUCCAGUCCUGGAAGGCAAAAGUGGGGCAUUGCUUCCCCCCUAAGACUCUGGCUCAGAGAGCCUCAGACACCCAGAGCCUCAGGGAGGAUUUGGGGAAGGCUCCCGGGUUCAAAUGUUCUGCUCUGUUUUCACUGGAGUCAAUCCUGGACCUAAGGGUGCUUUGCAGGUAGUUUAGAUUCUCUGUUACGGCAAAGGAAUCAGCCCAACCAAGGAAAGCCAAUGGCCGGGGGAAGCGAGGAUUGUCAACACGCAGGCAGCUGCUGUUGUUUUCUGGUUUUCCAACUUCUGAAAAUGCAGCGCCGACGGCUCAAGCCUCCGACGAUUUAAUUCACCUCUAGCCCAUUUCAUGUCACAAAAGGUCCGAAAUGGCUAAGCUCCAAGUAAUUUUAUACCUGAAAUGACUGUAUCCAAAACAUGACAUCACCCGUGGAUAAGAACAGCCAUGUUUUUUUCUAAUUAAGACGCACACUUGACUCUUUCGGUCUGGGUUGCAGCUGCCAUCUCUUUGUAUGGCUCUGACACGUUGGCUUUUUUCUGCAGAGAACAUCUCUGCCGGAGAAGGUCUGAACUGAAAAUACACACGGUAUCUGUUAAGACCAUUCUGUUAACCUGUCACUACCUGCCAAUUACAUUGUUCCUUGUUUUGGAAAUCUAGGUGAGGGGCGUCUGGGUGGCUCAGUCGGUUAAGCGUCCGACUUCAGCUCAGGUCACGAUCUUGCGGUCCGUGAGUUCGAACCCCGUGUCAGGCUCUGGGCUGACGGCUCAGAGCCUGGAGCCUGCUUCCGAUUCUGUGUCUUCCUCUCUCUCUGUCCCUCCCCCAUUCAUGCUCUGUCUCUCUCUGUCCCAAAAAUAAAUAAACGUUUAAAAAAAAAAAAUAAAAAAAAAAAGAAAUCCAGGUGAGAGAAACGCGUGGAGAACUCCAUUAGGAGUAGCCAGUACGGGUUUUUCUAAGUAUGGGUAGGGAAUCUGCCUACAGCAAGAAACACCAGUGCUGGCAUGCCCAGAAAACUCCACCUGGAAGAGGGAGUUAAGUGACACUUGGCAAAGCUGUCCUUUUGUCCUAAUUGCCUAGUCUUGAUUUAGAAGUGGAUGUCGUUUAUGUAUUUUUUUCAGGGAGACGUUCUGGUAAGCCUUUCCAAGAUGGUUCCCACGAAGACUUCUCUUCCUCAGCCUGAUAUCCUCUUGGGGUGAGGCUAACGCUUAUGGUGUGUCCAGCGCCGUGGCAGGUGGGAGAAGACUUCACCCCACCCAGAGCUGAACAGCCUUUGAGAUUGAGCCGUCUGCGGGCCUUUCCUACCUAAAUCUCCUGAAGCUUAGCCGCGGUCCAGCCAGCGCUCUUUGCCUCUUGGUCGGAUGCAGUAUGACAAGAAUGGGAAAGUGUGAAGCAUGUGCAAACUUCCCCCCACCCUGUGCAGCGAGAUGGGAAUUUGAUUAGAUCAGAAAAAUCCACUCCGAGGGGUGCUUGGGCGGCGCGGUCAGUUAAGCCUCCGACUUCAGCUCAGGUCAUGAUCUCACGGUUCAUGAGUUUGAGCCCCGCAUUGGGCUCCGUGCUGACAGCUGGGAGCCUGGAGCCUGCUUCGGAUUCUAUGUCUCCCCCCCACCGAUCCCUGCUCCUCCCCUGCUUGCACUCUGUCUCUCUCUCUCUCAAAAAUAAACACUAAAAAAAAAAAAAACUUUAAAAAAUAAUAACAGAAAAAUCCACUCGUAUUCAGUUUAUUGUGCAGAAAGGAUAAAAAAAAAAAUAAGUCUCUGUGACAGGGGCGCCUGGGUGGCUCAGGGCACGAUCU